UCUUAUAGAUGAGCAAAGAAAGUGGUUUCUGACAUGGAAUCUACUCCUGAUGAAGAUGCUGUGAA
rnacentral:pre_miRNA from 1 species